rnacentral:rRNA from 1 species
GCUUGCUCUCCAAGAAGUUAGCGGCGGACGGGUGAGGUAACACGUGGGUAAUCAUGCCCAUGAAGACUGGGAUAACUCCGGGAAACAGGGGCUGAUACCAGGAUAACAUUUGAACUGCAUCGUUCGAAGAUGAAAGGCGACUUCGACUGUCACUUAUGGAUGGACCCGCGUCGCAUUAGCUAGUUGGUGAGGUAACGGCUCACCAAGGCAACGAUGCGUAGCCGACCUGAGAGGGUGAUCGGCCACACUGGGAGUGAGACACGGCCCAGACUCCUACGGGAGGCAGCAGUAGGGAAUCUUCCGCAAUGGACGAAAGUCUGACGGAGCAACGCCGCGUGAGUGAUGAAGGCUUUCGGGUCGUAAAACUCUGUUGUUAUGGAAGAACAAGUGCUAGUUGAAUAAGCUGGCACCUUGACGGUACCUAACCAGAAAGCCACGGCUAACUACGUGCCAGCAGCCGCGGUAAUACGUAGGUGGCAAGCGUUAUCCGGAAUUAUUGGGCGUAAAGCGCGCGCAGGUGGUUUCUUAAGUCUGAUGUGAAAGCCCACGGCUCAACCGUGGAGGGUCAUUGGAAACUGGGAGACUUGAGUGCAGAAGAGGAAAGUGGAAUUCCAUGUGUAGCGGUGAAAUGCGUAGAGAUAUGGAGGAACACCAGUGGCGAAGGCGACUUUCUGGUCUGUAACUGACACUGAGGCGCGAAAGCGUGGGGAGCAAACAGGAUUAGAUACCCUGGUAGUCCACGCCGUAAACGAUGAGUGCUAAGUGUUAGAGGGUUUCCGCCCUUUAGUGCUGAAGUUAACGCAUAAGCACUCCGCGUGGAGACGCCGAG